UACGAAGGGAGCUAGCGUUGUUCGGAAUCACUGGGCGUAAAGCGCACGUAGGCGGAUGUGUCAGUCAGGGGUGAAAUCCCGGAGCUCAACUUCGGAACUGCCUCUGAUACAGCACGUCUUGAGUCCGAGAGAGGUGGGUGGAAUUCCUAGUGUAGGGGUGAAAUUCGUAGAUAUUCGGAAGAACACCAGUGGCGAAGGCGACUUACUGGACGAUUGUUGACGCUGAGGUGCGAAAGCGUGGGGAGCAAACAGG
rnacentral:rRNA from 1 species